rnacentral:rRNA from 1 species
AUGAUUAAUUUAAUGGCUGCAGUAUAUUGACUGUACAAAGGUAGCAUAAUCAUUUGCUUUAUAAAUUAAAGCUUGUAUGAAUGGUAUUAUGAAAAUAUGACUGUCUUUUAUUUAUCAAUAAAAUUUGAUUUUCCAGUGAAGAGACUGUAAAUUUUUAGAAAGACGAGAAGACCCUAAUGAGUUUUAUAUAUUGUUAUAUAUUAUUAUAAUUAUAUAUUUUAUUGGGGCAAUAAGAGAAAAAAUCUUCUUUUUAUAUAAAAGAAUAAUAUUUAAUGAACCAUUAAUAAUGAUUAAAAGUUUAAAUUACCAUAGGGAUAACAGCAUAAUUCUUUUCAAGAGUACUUAUCGACAAAAGAGAUUAUGACCUCGAUGUUGAAUUAAGAAAAUUAUAUGAUGAAGAAAUUAUAUAAAUAAGUC